GUAAAUGCAAUGAUGGGAAUAAGUAAGCUCGAUUGAAUUGCGUGCAGAGAGCCGGUGGUAGCUGCGAACCGGUGCAAGCGUCGUGCUGAAUGGGCCCCGGAGCCGAUGAACGGAAACUGGCAGCAGCCGCUGCCGAAGAUGUUUGUACGGAAGCUCCCCGUUAUGGAGCAACAAGGUUUAUGGGCUAUUUGCGCUUCGUUUCUAUAAAAGAGCGCACCAUAAACGAAUUAGGGUGGCACCACGGUCCCUCGUCCCUUGC
rnacentral:ncRNA from 1 species